rnacentral:rRNA from 1 species
UGGGGAAUAUUGCACAAUGGGCGAAAGCCUGAUGCAGCAACGCCGCGUGAGUGAUGAAGGCCUUCGGGUUGUAAAGCUCUGUCUUCUGGGACGAUAAUGACGGUACCAGAGGAGGAAGCCACGGCUAACUACGUGCCAGCAGCCGCGGUAAUACGUAGGGUGCAAGCGUUGUCCGGAAUUAUUGGGCGUAAAGAGCUCGUAGGCGGUUUGUCGCGUCUGCUGUGAAAACCCGAGGCUCAACCUCGGGCCUGCAGUGGGUACGGGCAAACUAGAGUGCGGUAGGGGAGAUUGGAAUUCCUGGUGUAGCGGUGGAAUGCGCAGAUAUCAGGAGGAACACCGAUGGCGAAGGCAGAUCUCUGGGCCGUAACUGACGCUGAGGAGCGAAAGCAUGGGGAGCGAACA